UACAGAGGAGCCAAGCGUUGUCCGGAUUGACUGGGCGUAAAGCGCACGCAGGCGGACGCGCGCGUGGGGUGUGAAAUCUGGCCGCUUAACGGCCAGGCGCCAUCCCAUACGGCGCGUCUGGAGUGAUGCAGAGGUCGGUGGAAUUGCCGGUGUAGUGGUGAAAUGCGUAGAGAUCGGCAGGAACACCUAGGGGGAAACCAGCCGACUGGGCAUCUACUGACGCUGAGGUGCGAGAGCGUGGGGAGCAAACAGG
rnacentral:rRNA from 1 species